CGGGGCGUAGCUCAGUCUGGUUAGAGCGCCUGGUUUGGGACCAGGAGGUCGCUAGUUCGAAUCUAGUCGCCCCGA
rnacentral:tRNA from 6 species